AUCAUGCAGUCGAGCGGACCGAAGGGAGCUUGCUCCUUUAGGUUAGCGGCGGACGGGUGAGUAACACGUGGGCAACCUGCCCUGCAGACUGGGAUAACUUCGGGAAACCGGAGCUAAUACCGGAUAACACCGAAAACCGCAUGGUUUUCGGUUGAAAGGCGACUUUUAGCUGUCACUGCAGGAUGGGCCCGCGGCGCAUUAGCUAGUUGGUGAGGUAACGGCUCACCAAGGCGACGAUGCGUAGCCGACCUGAGAGGGUGACCGGCCACACUGGGACUGAGACACGGCCCAGACUCCUACGGGAGGCAGCAGUAGGGAAUCUUCCGCAAUGGACGAAAGUCUGACGGAGCAACGCCGCGUGAGCGAAGAAGGUCUUCGGAUCGUAAAGCUCUGUUGUCAAGGAAGAACAAGUACCGUUCGAACAGGGCGGUACCUUGACGGUACCUGACGAGGAAGCCACGGCUAACUACGUGCCAGCAGCCGCGGUAAU
rnacentral:rRNA from 1 species